GGCGCCGAGUGUCUCCGUGUCCCUCUGCCCCAGCCGGCGGCCGCGAUGGUGGAGCUUGGCCUCUCGCUCUCUCCCGCCUCUCCAGCGACUGCUCUGCCGGCCGCGGAGGUCGGAUCGAGCGGUCAUUCAUUCAUUUGUUAAUUCGUUCACUUAUUCAGGGGAGAUCAUUGAACCCCUACGGAGUACCGGGUACUGGGCCGGGCGCUGAGGACGCGGGGCUGAGCAAAAGCAGCCGAGGCCCACCUUCGUGCCCCUUAAAACCCAGCGUGCGGGGCGGCAACGAGUACUGCUUUUCUGUUUUGCACUUAAAAUUUACAUUUUGCAUCCGUACUUUUUAUUUACUGUGCACCCUUACGGCAUGCUUUACGCACCCGUACCUGCACCUCCUAGCCUUGAGUGUAGACACCAGAUCCUGAGAUGGGCGAUUUUUCGAGAAUAAUUUUUACCCUAAGUGGAUUUUCGUGCCACGCAUGGACUUGGAACUACACACACGUAGUCCAAAACGUGAAAGUCAAAAUGCAGCUUUGCCAAGUGGCAGGGAGAAAGGAGAGCUGAGAAGAUGAGGAGAGGAAGGGCGCGCUCCAGGCUUUCCAGCCCGGGUGCGGUAGACGUAGCCCUGAAGGAUGAACCCAGGCUGGUAGUAGGGCGGCGGGAGGGCGGGGGGACCUGUCAGUCAAGUCCAAAGCAGAAACGCGGCGCCGGAUCCCAGUCAGAGGCCGGCUGGAACGCUUCCCACAGGCUCCUGGCGCUCCGGUCCCCACCAGGCGACCUUGAUCCUGGCGUGCUCAGCGGAGCCAGCGCAGCGUCGGGAGCUGGAGAGACGCGGGGCGCCGGCUGAGCGCUCCUGCCCUCUGCCUCUGGGCUAGCCUCUGGCCCGGCCUCCCGGCCUCCCCCAGGGUACGCUCUCCCCCAAGAGCGAACACCAGCUUUGGGAUCGCCAGCAGCCACGUCUCUGCUUCUAGAUCUCUUUUUUUUUUCUUUGAGACUUAGUUGAUAGCUGUUUAAGGAAUUAUGUGGAGGAAAUCUCACCUCCGACCCCCGCCCCCGUUGAGCACGGCCGGCCAGGGUCGCUGGGUGGGCCAGGAGGAAAGAAAGGGGCGGGGAAGAAGCAGCAAUUUUACUUUAAAUUAAAAUGACACAAAAAUAUUUUUUCAACUCAGAUCUUUCUGAGACAUCCCCAGAAAGCGUUGCAAGCUGUGAUUACACCUAAUGUGAGAGCAUGAACUAAUUUAAGAGGUGAGAGCUGCAUAAUGAGGCUGCCUCCCGUGUAGCAGCCAAGACUGGCAGCUCUGGCGGCGCGCUGGAGGGGACCGGGAGGGGCACCCUUGUAGAACCAGUCCCUGGCGCCCUGGGAUCUUCUCAGUGCCCUGGCGCUGUGUUGUCGGUCACUCCACAGAUAUUACAGGGUGCCUCCUGAAUGCCGGGUUGCAAUCAAGAGCAAGAGAUGGGGCGAGUGAAAGAGCCUGUUUUCAGGAGCUCAGCAUCAGGAUGACGAUUACCUAGAGGGAGGUGGUGGCCAGCCUCCCCCUCUUCUCUUCAUGCUGAGGCUCUGGUGGGCAGUGCCCAAGCCUGAACUGCCAUCUGUAUGCCAGUGGUUACCCAACUUGUAUUUUCAGUCUUAGCCUCUCUCUGGUCCAGACUUGUCAUUCUAAGGGCCCUUUUUCACUGACUCACAUUGUCUCCUCCCUCCCUGCCUUCCAAACUCAGCCUUUUCCUUUUUCCCUUUCCCACUGACAACAGCUGCACGACCCCCCCGCCCCCCCACGAGGUGAAAAUUCCCAAGAACCCCAUGUCUAACCUAACUCCCUCUCUAUGUCCUGUUGCUUGAGCCAUUCUCAUUAGGCUGCCUGUUCGGAGUUCAUUAUCUCCUAAUUUUUCAUCCAGGAAUUGAUGAAGAAUCACCUACUGCCUCUCCCACACACUGUUUAUUCUUUCAUUUGAUGAUAUCUGUUAAGUGCCCUGAGAUAUGUAACCUCCACUUCCCUCCCAUAUAAGUGAGAUUUCACGUUGAUUACUUCCUUGGCUUUCCUCAUCCCUUAUCCACAUAGCAUGUGUUCAAAAUAAUGAAUAUUAAUUUAAUGUUAAUAGAUAUGUGCUUUCCUGAAUUGUGAGGAUUAAAUGAAAUCAUGUAUAUAGGGAGGAAAAUCCAUUAGAAACCUCAAAAGCAGUUAUGUUUAUUUUUGCUAUUGUCACAUUGUUAGAGUCAGAAUUCUUUUAGCUGCAAGUGACAAAACCAACUCAAACUGGCUUAAGGACUUUAUUGGUUGAUGCAAAAAGCCUCGGGUUAGGUCUUGCCAUUUAAGGUAGGGCUGGAUCCAUCAAUCCGGGUUACCAGGAUCUGUUUUCUAGUUGUGGCUUCAUUUUCAGACAAGUUGUUUCCAUAUGAUAGCCUCAUAGAAGGUACUACCAGCUUAGUCCUAGCAAGAAAAAAGAGUACUUACUCUUCAAUAUUUGCAGCAGAAGUCCCAGGUCUGUUCUUAUGAGGGCAGUUUGAGUCACUUGCUCUUCUCUGAACGUGGAGAAGGCACUGUUUAGAUGAUGGAGGUUGGAUUCAGGUGCAUCCCCUGGAAUGGGGUUUGGCAUUAGCUUCACGUGGUCUAGAAUAAAGGGGUUCUCCAAAGGAAAAUUAGGGUAGGAAUGCUGAGUAAGCAGAACAAACAGAUGUCUACUUUAGUCCUUCCCAAAGGGUGAGCUGCAAUACAUUGCAGACUAUCAGAAUGGUGAUGAACACGGAUGCAGUAGCCAAGAAAAUAGAUGUGUGUUUGUCGUGGUCUUUUUCAGUCUUCAAGAUCUCAGUUAAACAUGAAGUCAACCACUCACUAUGAUGUUAUUUGAGGUUUAGCUUUGAAGUGGAAAUGUACCACAAAUAGUAGAGCCAGAUAAAUACAAAUAAAUAAUUUUAACAGUCCAUUCUAAAAGAUUUCUUUGGUAAUAUUCUGUUGGAAUUGAUUUCUAUCUUUUCAUUUGUUAGGUUCCUGGAAAGUGAAAAUUUCAUUUCUUUGUGGACAGGUACCUAAAAUGUCUCAUUAUUCAUCAAUUAAUGAAAAACAAAUGAAAAUUUGAGAGAGAUAUUCUGAAGAAUAAAAGGAUCAAGUUGGGUCAUUUCUAAAAUCUCAGAGACCUAAUAGGAUGGGGUCUUAGAGAAACAUCUUUUGAGCCACAGACUUCUUUGUUACCAGAAGGAAAAUGAAAGAAGAAAUUUAAAUACCACUUGAAGAGAGGUGCUGCCCAGUUCAUGAGUGCUGCUGCUGUCCUGCCCAAGUACCCAGCUUGCAGAGUGCCAGAGUUAGAGUCCCAGGGGUGUUCUCCACAGCUGCAUGCUUGAUCCAGGCCUAUCAGAUAUAUUCCAUUGAAAGUCCUCAUUCUCAAAUUUAAAACAAAGACUUUUUGUGUACCUCAAUAGCAAUGCACACACAGUUGGCUUCACAAACAUAUUGUACAUUUCUUUUUUUCAUAUUUAUUCAACAAAUGUAUAUUGACUACCCACCGUGUGACAGGUGUUAUUUGUUGACGGAACCAGGCAUCAUCAGCAAACAAAACUGACAAAGCUUCCUGCCCUCUGUGGAAGGCAUCUGAGGAAGAGACUGGAUUUUGUAGCAACAUGUUAUUCUCAUUAUAAACUUUAUCAUUGGAAUACUAAAGCCAAAUCAUCCCCCAUCUCCUUGAUCAGGAUACCCACUUAAUCUAGGCAGCUACACAAUUGUGAGAGCCUUUGUUUUUUUCUGCUGAAACAUCCUUAAAAAGAUACCUCACAACCCAAGAUUUGGCUUUUCUUAAAUACGAUUUUUAAUUUUUUUCAUUUCUAUCUAGAGAUUUAAUUGGAAAUGGAAAAUCAUCAAUUUUCCAAUUAAAUGUCUGUUCCAAUCAACAUUAUACCUUUUAGGUUGUCAUUGUCAUUUUUAAGUUUAAGCAACUUUAAGGAUUUUGAAUCUGGCUGCCUGUAAAUUAAAGGUGAAAGUAAUCA
rnacentral:lncRNA from 1 species